rnacentral:lncRNA from 1 species
GCAUGGUGAACAGCAAUCUGGGGCAGGGGAUUCCACACUGUGUAUACUGCUGCCUGAUGUAGUGAUGGCAGUUCAGGUCCUGUGCAACCAGCGCUGUAGUCUCCAUUAUCCCAGACAGUGGUAUACAGAUUUGUUCAUAAUUGUUUGUUUGUUUGUUUUUUUAAUAGUCCAGCCCUCCAAUGGUUUGAGGGACAGUGAACUGUCCUCCUCUGUAAAAAGUUUGGGGACCCCUGCCUUAGACAAUCACAUGACAGUGCCUAGGGGAUCUUGCCGAGUCUCCAUUGAGCACACUGGGCUGAAGGUCCUUACAAUCUGUUUUCUGCAUGGAGGACCUAAUUUAAAAAGAAGAAGAAGGAGAAAGAAAGAAAGAAAGAAGAAGAAGUAGAACUCCCAGCUGACAGUCACCUUUUUCUUAGGGUCAGAAGCCUUCCAGUGUUUUAACUGUGGUUCACGAUCAGGGUCAGGCUUUGCACUUCCCUGUUGACUUUCCCUGCUUUGAGCUCUCAGAACCGCCUGGCAUGAAAGCUUGCCCCUACAGACUGCUCCCUCCUUCUUCCCCCCAUAUAUACUUCAGCUGUCAAAAUCUUUUAAUUACCUAAUUAGUCUGACUCUGGAGCUGAUCAGUGUGUGCCACCCUCUGAUCCCAGGGUUCUUGCUCUUUCUUGAUGAGAACAGCUUUACUCUCCAUGACCUACUCUUGAAAAUGUUCCCAAUUCAGCCUUUCUCCUUUGUACUCUUUGUGGCAAAAUUGAAAAGAGAAAGAAACAAAAAUCAGGUGCCACAGGGUAACGUGCUGGGUCAUCCUAAAACCUGUGAUAGUCUUAUUUCACUUAGAAAAUAAAAGAUUUCCUUGGCAACCA